GGACGCGGUGGCUCGGGCCGGAGGUGCAGCCAACCCUGGUGGCAGGGACAGGAGGUCCUGCCCCCAGGACCUGGGCUGCUGACUCCGCGUGGGUCUCUACACUUCCGUUAGGGAAAAUUUUAUCUAAAGGCGGCUCUAGCGUUUUUUCACAUCUCGCUGGCUGGCAAAAUUGGGAGUUAGUAGGACGCAGGCGUACGCAGUCCGUGCGUGCGGUGGCCAUUCUGGGAGAUGCGGUAGAUGGAGUUCGAGUGUGAAGAAAAAAGAGCAAAGCUUGCAGAGGCUGCAGAGAGAAGACAGAAGGAGGCUGCAUCUCGGGGCAUUUUGGAUGUUAGGUCUGUGGAAGAAAAAAGAAAGAAAAAGGAAAAAAUAGAAAAACAAAUGGCUACAUCUGGACCCCCACCAGAAGGUGGACUUAGAGUAAGUAUUAAAAUUUACUUAAGGUUUAAUUUACUUGGAAUUUUUUAAAAAAAACUUAAGUAGCAGUCCAUUCAAUAAUUUCCUCAGGAAAUGGAUUAUUGGAAAAUUGUGAAUUAAUUUAAAAGCAUGAACAAUAUAGUUUGGAAGAAGUGUCCAUUUAUUUGGAUGUUCCGACAUUCACUGGAAUAUAUUUGCUUUCUUUUUUCCAAAAUGAAAAUAUAUUUCCUGACUAUCUUAACUCUGUAUUUUAAUACUUGAUACUUAUAUAAUUGAUGGCAAUCUUAAAGUAUAGAAAACAAUAUAGAAAGGUAUAAAAAAGAAAGUAAAAAUCACCCAAAUUCAGUGUCAUUUUGACAGACAUUGCUUCUAAUAUCAUUUAUACAUCAGUCUUACUAAAUGGGAUUAUACUAUAAACUACUUCAGACUCUUGGAAUUUUUUCCACUCAAUGAUUUGAGACUAUUGAGCUUCCCAUUGUCACUCAUUAUCAUUGUUAUGUAAACAUUGAUUUGGACAGUAGGAUGUACAGGGGUGCAUCUGACACAUACUCCUCCCAAUCUUAGCCAUGGUAACUCUGGAUACUAAAAGUACAAUAAUGGACAAUUAAGCAUGGUCCCUGAGCGUGGGGCUUGCUGCAAUCUAGCAGGAUGAUAAAAGGUUUUAGCUUAUGUGUUAAAGCUCAGAAAAGUAAUGGUUCAUAUAUUAAGAUUUUCUUCUUUGGGCAAUUUUUAAAGGAAAUAGAUUUCUCAAGUAUAUCUUUGAAAGGACAAUGUCCUGAAUUUCAAGCAUUUGUAUUUAGCUUAGUGGUGGUUUAUGAGCACUUGUUUAGUUGAUUUGCUACCUUCUCAAUUCAAUUUGGCUAUUGCUCACAAAAAUAUAUAAAUACCUAUGUAUAUACAAUCCUGACUUGUAAGGCAGGCAAUUUAGGAGCACCCUGAGCAGAAGUGAUUCUGACUCAGGAAGAUACAUGGAAAUAAGAUUUAUCUGUGCAUAUUUUAUCAUUGUAUGUUACUUCAUCUGAUUUCAUUUAAUAAGUGAAAUUUAAAGAAAAUAGUUUUUUAUUGUUAACUUUAACAACAUAUAAAAUAAUUGGUUCUAAUAUUAAGGUAAAUAGUGGUGAGUAUUGUAUUUAUUGAUUUAUUUCUUUAAUAUACCCCCAUAAUAAGAAAGAAUUAAUGUAAAGUAAAACAUUUGGGAGAUACAAGGUCAGAUAUUUAACAAAAGCAUAAAUGCUUACUUUCAACAUUCUGUUUAGAUAAAGAUCUAUGUCACCAAUUUAUCACUUCAUAUAGGGUUCUCAAAAGCAUAUAUGAAAAUUAAAUUAUGGAACUGGAAAUGGUGCUAAGAUCAACUAUUUCAUAGUAGAAGAAAUGGAAGUUCAAAAUGACUUAAAGUCACAUACAAUGUUACCAAAAAAAGAUACUUUAUAUAUAAUCAGAAGGUACUUACUUUACAUGUUCUAACAAAUUUAACAUCAGCUUUUGAACUCUAAUAAAAGAUAAAGGGAUUUCUUAACUAAACCUGAAGUCUGUAGAUUAAAAAUAAAUUAAGCCUUGUAUUGCUUCUGGUCCCUUCAGAAGUGCUCAAAAAAAAACACCUCAGUGUUAAAUUUAGUCCCUUUUUUCUUUGACCACCUGCUUUGCUCAUCGAGAACAUACAGUGUAAUUCAAAAUAAGUUUUUGGAGGCUCAGGGAUAACAGAAGGAAAAAUACAAGCAAGAAAAUAACUUUAAUCCUCAAACCCUUUGGCCUAGGAUCCUUUAGGGACUGCUCUCAGGCCUGUUCUACAGGUUGGCCUCAACUGUGUCACAGCUAGAUUCUUCCUAACUGGGCUCCAUAGUAUGAGGAAAAAACCGUCUUUCCUUGUCAUCAUGCUUUCCACAUAGUCAUCUCCUGACUAGCUGCCUCUUCCCAGGGUAAUUGGCCUUAAAAGUGCUCACUGUGUCCUGGAAAGGCAGUCUUAUUUGAAGGAGUCAAUGUGAUGACAGCAUCAGGACACAAACUAGCAUGGGUUCAGGACUUACCAGUAGAGGAGCAGUGGCAGACAUUCCAUGCAGUGCCUCCCAACCCUGGCUGCUGCUGGAGACUCCCAAGGAGCUUUCACAAAAGCCUGAGCCUUGGGUCCAGCCCUAGGCCAAUUAGAAUGGCUGAAAGUGGGUUUAGCCCAAUAUCCAACCAGAUUGAGAAUCACUGCUCUAGUGCUUGUAAUGCUAAUCCUGAGAGAUAGUCCUAUGGUAAAAAAAAAAAAAAAAAAAAAAAAAAAAAAAA
rnacentral:lncRNA from 1 species